GUUGGUAUCAAAGAACCGAAGGGUAAGCCACUUUAGGAUCAGAUCCAGGCAGCUGAUGACACCAUCUUUCUCAUUUUCCAAAUGCUCAAUCAUAACAGCCAGUGCUUUGUUGUGGUGCUGGAAGUCUGCAUGAAACAUCUCAUCCUGUAACCAUUUGGCCACACAACUGGACAUCUGAGUUUUCAGCUGUUCAAUGUAUUCAUCACGAGGAGUAGUGAAGUUCCACUUCAACACCUUCAGUCCUUUCUCAUCUUUCAUUCUCUGUUCUUUCCCAUUUGGGACUAUGAUAAAAAUGGGACCCGAUUUGUCAUCAUCCUCCUUCAAAGUAGGCUUGUUUAAUACUUUCUUCCCCUGUACACCCUUAGUUUUAGAAGAAGCUCCUCCUACUUUGGCUUUUUUGGGAUCAGGCUUCGAUUCCAUGGUAUUUGACCCUGAAUCUUCAGCAAGAGCUGACGCAGGUUGGAAAGGAUUUUCUUUUUUCAACUCCUCAGAUAGGUCUUCUCCUUC
rnacentral:lncRNA from 1 species